CAGUAGCCACGGUAAUGCGAAGGGGGCUAGCGUUGCUCGGAAUCACUGGGCGUAAAGGGUGCGUAGGCGGUUUGUCGCGUCUGCUGUGAAAACUGGAGGCUGAGCCUCCAGCCUGCAGUGGGUACGGGCAGACUAGAGUGCGGUAGGGGAGAUUGGAAUUCCUGGUGUAGCGGUGGAAUGCGCAGAUAUCAGGAGGAACACCGAUGGCGAAGGCGGGUCUCUGGGCAGUAACUGACGCUGAGGAGCGAAAGCGUGGGGAGCGAACAGGAUUAGAUACCCCCGUAGUCCCUGUCUCUUAUAC
rnacentral:rRNA from 1 species